UGGGGAAUAUUGGACAAUGGGCGAAAGCCUGAUCCAGCCAUGCCGCGUGUGUGAAGAAGGUCUUCGGAUUGUAAAGCAUUUUAAGUUGGGAGGAAGGGCAUUAACCUAAUACGUUAGUGUUUUGACGUUACCGACAGAAUAAGCACCGGCUAACUCUGUGCCAGCAGCCGCGGUAAUACAGAGGGUGCAAGCGUUAAUCGGAAUUACUGGGCGUAAAGCGCGCGUAGGUGGUUUGUUAAGUUGGAUGUGAAAGCCCCGGGCUCAACCUGGGAACUGCAUCCAAAACUGGCAAGCUAGAGUACGGUAGAGGGUGGUGGAAUUUCCUGUGUAGCGGUGAAAUGCGUAGAUAUAGGAAGGAACACCAGUGGCGAAGGCGACCACCUGGACUGAUACUGACACUGAGGUGCGAAAGCGUGGGGAGCAAACA
rnacentral:rRNA from 1 species